rnacentral:rRNA from 1 species
UGGGGAAUAUUGGACAAUGGGGGCAACCCUGAUCCAGCAAUGCCGCGUGUGUGAAGAAGGUCUUCGGAUUGUAAAGCACUUUCGACGGGGACGAUGAUGACGGUACCCGUAGAAGAAGCCCCGGCUAACUUCGUGCCAGCAGCCGCGGUAAUACGAAGGGGGCUAGCGUUGCUCGGAAUGACUGGGCGUAAAGGGCGUGUAGGCGGUUUACACAGUCAGAUGUGAAAUCCCCGGGCUUAACCUGGGAGCUGCAUUUGAUACGUGUAGACUAGAGUGUGAGAGAGGGUUUGUGGAAUUCCCAGUGUAGAGGUGAAAUUCGUAGAUAUUGGGAAGAACACCGGUGGCGAAGGCGGCAACCUGGCUCAUGACUGACGCUGAGGCGCGAAAGCGUGGGGAGCAAACAGGUUAGAUACCCUGGUAGUCCACGCUGUAAACGAUGUGUGCUAGAUGUUGGGUAAC